AGCGAACGCUGGCGGCAGGCCUAACACAUGCAAGUCGAACGAAGUCUUCGGACUUAGUGGACGGGUGAGUAACACGUGGGAACGUGCCUUUAGGUUCGGAAUAACUCAGGGAAACUUGUGCUAAUACCGAAUGUGCCCUUCGGGGGAAAGAUUUAUCGCCUUUAGAGCGGCCCGCGUCUGAUUAGCUAGUUGGUGAGGUAAAGGCUCACCAAGGCUACGAUCAGUAGCUGGUCUGAGAGGAUGACCAGCCACAUUGGGACUGAGACACGGCCCAAACUCCUACGGGAGGCAGCAGUGGGGAAUCUUGCGCAAUGGGCGAAAGCCUGACGCAGCCAUGCCGCGUGGAUGAUGAAGGUCUUAGGAUUGUAAAAUCCUUUCACCGGUGAAGAUAAUGACUGUAGCCGGAGAAGAAGCCCCGGCUAACUUCGUGCCAGCCGCCGCGGUAAAAC
rnacentral:rRNA from 1 species